CAAAAUUUAAACUAUAUCCAUUUAUGAGAUCCUAGAUGCACUCUCCAUCACAGCAUAUAGGUGGAUAACCUAAUGUCAUUUCAAAAUUUAAACGUUUAUUUCCUUCUCUCUCUCUCAAAAUCGCUACUCCCAUUUCAAAAUUCAAAAAAUAUGUAACCACAUAUUUGUGAAGAUGGCGGCCUCUGUUCAGGUAAGACGACAAAGGUAAGACGACGGUCACCCACCCUCAUCAAGCAACGACUGUCGUCGCCACCACUCACACGACCCAUCUCCGUCUCCGGUCACCCACCACCGUACUCCUUCUCCACCCUGAACCCCAAUCGCCGUACAAGGACGUAUUUCCGGUGGUCGUCUCCGGCGGUGGAACGGACGCAUCAAUCACUGGGUUUGAAGAGGGGUUAUCGCAUACAUGGUUAGCCUAGGGUUAGGAUGAAGAUGCAGUGAGAUGACGGCACAGCUUCUUACAGACCAACUGAAGAUUUCAAACGUCCUUAAAGAGCAGCCCUUCAUUAGCCUUUUCAGUAUCUCAGAGUUAAAAACAGGUUUUAAUGUUUUAAUUCGUUAAUGUUGCUCCCAAAAAGAGUUUGUGUUUCUUUGUUUAAUCACCGGUGGUUACAUACAUGCUAAUUUAAUUCAAAAUUGAACUAUAAUAUUCACCAAAAACAGAUUGACCAGGUGGUAGCACAUUAAUGGUGGCGAGCAACUGACUUGCAAUAGGAACUUUCUUAUCGUCGUUCCUGUAGCGUUGUGCUUAUCUUGAUAUGAAUGGAAACAGGGUGUCUACUCGAGCCGAUGCAUACAAUCCUUACCUUGUGUCGCCGGAGGAAAGCCCAGUUUUAAAUGGCUUGACAUCAUUCCCAGAAUCAGAGACUUCGCCAAGAAGCAGUUCCGGUAGCAACGGUAUUGUUCAGCCACGGUUUGCUCGCGCUUCCUCUUUAGGAGUGGCUUUGCAUAAGGAAAUAGUAGCGGCUCUUGCUGACUUGUUAUAUAAUGAUGAAAAAUUAAGUCUCAUCGAUGUUGCUGAUAUUGAACAAAUUCUAAACCAUUCCGAGAUGACAACGCAAGUUUUUCUGCAAGCAGUCCAGUAUCUUGCUCAAUCCAUGCUUGAAAAUAUUGAGGUAUUACAUUUUUUUAACAUAAAACAAUUAAAAUUUUGAUUUUCUUCUGAAACUCUCUGUAUAUAUAAUCCAGUAUAUAAUCCAGGUGAUCAAGUCUGUACAGCACUUGUCAACAAACACCAUGGAAGCUCUAAAAGGGCUUCGAAAGAUUAGUAACAUUUUAUCGGAGAUGUGAGGUGAUUUUCUUCUUUAUAAUACAUAAACUGUAAUUAUGAUUUUUGGGAGUGGAUGGCACUCUUGUAAUUUAGGUUAACAGCUUCCGGUUAGCUUGUAAAUGUAAAUAUAUACAUGUAUCAUAUUAUUUGAGUGACAAACUGAUUUUCAUAA